UGGCCGAUGGUGUAAUGGUAGCACAGGGGCCUUUGACGCCCUUAGUCAUGGUUCGAAUCCAUGUUGGCCAACCA
rnacentral:tRNA from 1 species